GCCACCGGCUGCUGUGACCAUGUGAAACCUGCCAUCACCACUUGCAGAGUCACGGGCUCUGUCCCGACACCAGGAUGCAUCAGAUAAGGAAAUAAAAGGAAAAGUGGGUGGGGAGAUGGCUAAGAAAAGAUACGGGAGAUGGAUAAAAAGGGAUGGGGUGAGGAAAAAAUUACUCCUGUUAGGUCUUGCAUCCGGCGGACCUACACAUGGAUCAUUUGUAGACCAAAAUCAGGUGCUAUUCACCCUUUUCUGUUUUCUAUACGUAUUAAAUCAUCAAAAUAAUGAUUACUCUGUCUCUUGAAAUAUUUUUUGUGCAUGACAAUUGUUUAUUACCAUGGUGGCAUUAUACCAUGGAG
rnacentral:lncRNA from 1 species